rnacentral:rRNA from 1 species
UUGCACGCUGGCGGCAUGCUUUACGCAUGCCAGUCGAACGGUAACAGGCCGCAAGGUGCUGACGAGUGGCGAACGGGUGAGUAAUGCAUCGGAACGUGCCCAGUCGUGGGGGAUAACUACUCGAAAGAGUAGCUAAUACCGCAUACGAUCUAUGGAUGAAAGCGGGGGACCGUAAGGCCUCGCGCGAUUGGAGCGGCCGAUGUCAGAUUAGGUAGUUGGUGGGGUAAAGGCUCACCAAGCCAACGAUCUGUAGCUGGUCUGAGAGGACGACCAGCCACACUGGGACUGAGACACGGCCCAGACUCCUACGGGAGGCAGCAGUGGGGAAUUUUGGACAAUGGGCGCAAGCCUGAUCCAGCAAUGCCGCGUGCAGGAAGAAGGCCUUCGGGUUGUAAACUGCUUUUGUACGGAACGAAACGGCUCUGGUUAAUACCCGGGGCUAAUGACGGUACCGGAAGAAUAAGCACCGGCUAACUACGUG